UACAGAGGGUGCGAGCGUUAAUCGGAAUUACUGGGCGUAAAGAGCUCGUAGGCGGCUUGGCAAGUCGGGUGUGAAACCUCCAGGCUCAACCUGGAGACGCCACCCGAUACUGCCAUGGCUAGAGUCCGGUAGGGGACCACGGAAUUCCUGGUGUAGCGGUGAAAUGCGCAGAUAUCAGGAGGAACACCGGUGGCGAAGGCGGUGGUCUGGGCCGGCACUGACGCUGAGGAGCGAAAGCGUGGGGAGCGAACAGG
rnacentral:rRNA from 1 species